AUUGAACGCUGGCGGAAUGCUUUACACAUGCAAGUCGAGCGGCAGCACGGGGGCAACCCUGGUGGCGAGCGGCGAACGGGUGAGUAAUUCAUCGGAACAUGCCCAGUCGUGGGGGAUAACACUUCGAAAGAAGUGCUAAUACCGCAUACGUCCUGAGGGAGAAAGCGGGGGAUCGCAAGACCUCGCGCGAUUGGAGUGGCCGAUGUCAGAUUAGCUAGUUGGUGGGGUAAAGGCCUACCAAGGCAACGAUCUGUAGCUGGUCUGAGAGGAUGAUCAGCCACACUGGGACUGAGACACGGCCCAGACUCCUACGGGAGGCAGCAGUGGGGAAUUUUGGACAAUGGGGGCAACCCUGAUCCAGCCAUUCCGCGUGAGUGAAGAAGGCCUUCGGGUUGUAAAGCUCUUUCGGCAGGAACGAAACGGCGAGCUCUAACAUAGCUUGCUAAUGACGGUACCUGAAGAAGAAGCACCGGCUAACUACGUG
rnacentral:rRNA from 1 species